rnacentral:rRNA from 1 species
GAUGAACGCUGGCGGCGUGCCUAAUACAUGCAAGUCGAGCGAACAGAUAAGGAGCUUGCUCCUUUGACGUUAGCGGCGGACGGGUGAGUAACACGUGGGUAACCUACCUAUAAGACUGGGAUAACUUCGGGAAACCGGAGCUAAUACCGGAUAACAUUUGGAACCGCAUGGUUCUAAAGUGAAAGAUGGUUUUGCUAUCACUUAUAGAUGGACCCGCGCCGUAUUAGCUAGUUGGUAAGGUAACGGCUUACCAAGGCGACGAUACGUAGCCGACCUGAGAGGGUGAUCGGCCACACUGGAACUGAGACACGGUCCAGACUCCUACGGGAGGCAGCAGUAGGGAAUCUUGCGCAAUGGGCGAAAGCCUGACGGAGCAACGCCGCGUGAGUGAUGAAGGGUUUCGGCUCGUAAAACUCUGUUAUUAGGGAAGAACAGAUGUGUAAGUAACUGUGCACGUCUUGACGGUACCUAAUCAGAAAGCCACGGCUAACUACGUG